GAACAGGAUUAGAUACCCCAGUAGUCAAAGCAGAAAAUGAUGAAUGUCAUAUAUUAGACAUAUGAUAGUUUAUUAUAUAAAUGAAAGUGUAAGCAUUCCACCUCAAGAGUAAUUUGGCAACAUUGGAACUGAAAUCAUUAGACCGUUUCUGAAACCAGUAGUGAAGUAUGUUGUUUAAUUUGAUGAUCCGCAAAAAACCUUACCACAAUUUGAAUAUUUAUAUUUUUCUUUAUUUUUAAUCUUUUAAUAACUCUUUUAUAGAUAAAAAAAAAGACAUUAAUAAGAAAAUUAUGCCUACAAGCGUUGCACGGCUGUCUUCAGUUAAUGUCGUGAGAUUUUGGUUAGUUCCAUUAAAUUAACGUAAACCCUUACUUUA
rnacentral:rRNA from 1 species